rnacentral:lncRNA from 1 species
GGAAAAUGACAGAGGUCAAGAGGCCAUCAUCAAGGCACAAACACAGAGUUCAGAGAAAUUCCCAGUGUGGGAAUAAAGCGGUGGCUCAGACGGUAAAGCGUCUGUCUACAAUGUGGGAGACCCGGGUUCCAUCCCUGGGUCAGGAAGAUCCCCUGGAGAAGGCAAUGGCAAUUCACUCCACUACUAUUGCCCGGAAAAUCCCAUGGACAGAGGAGCUCGGUAGGCUACAGUCCAUGGGGGCGCAAAGAGUCGGACAUGACUGAGCGACUUCACUUCACUAAUCACAGGCCUUAUACUCAGAGCACUGUAGCUCAUCAAUAGCACUGGGCAAGCCUUAAGUACUAUUCUGAUCCUAACUUACUCGUAAUAUCCUAACUUACUCCAACAGAUUUCUUGUCAUCACAGGCAGUCUUUUGCACAAUUCAUGUUUCUGUGUGUCACACAGUAUAAUGAAACAAAGACCAGUCAAAUGCCGCAAACCACCCAGAAAUCUCUUUGCUGUUUUAAGCAGGCCAACAAAUCUAUUCUUAUUGGUAUUCCUGUAAACCGUUAUAAAUACUGGUUAGUCUUCCAUGGCCAUUUAAGAGACUUUUGUAUGGUUUUAGAAAUGCUCUCCAG